CUGAAACAUUAUGAAUAGAGAAGGUAAAUUCAAAUCCUGAAGGAAAAUUUAUUUCUGUUAAGAUAAGUUGCUGUUUUUUUAAAUAAUAAAAGGGAGCUCAUGUAAUCAAACCUGCCCCUGGUGACUAAUUUGUUCUCCGACAUGCAAUACAUUACCAGAGCCUCAGAGUUGAUUAUUCAGGAUAAAGUUUACAUGCCUAAGAGUGACAGUAGCCAGCUUGAUCUUGGUGAGGCAAAAUGAAUGAUUUUAAGCCCAUGCAUGACCUCUAUUGUGGCAAUCUGGUCACUUUGUUCAUGAAUUUCAUUUUAUAAGAAGACGUUGGCUGGGAAAAGAACUUGACAUCUACAAGGUGAGAACACAAGUGAGAAGGCAGCUGUCUACAUGCCAGGAAGAGAGCCCUCACCAGAAACUAACCAUGCUGGCACCUUCAUCUUGAACUUCACAGCCUGUAGAACUUCAAGAAAUAAAUUUAUAUUGUUAAGCCACUUUGUUAUGACAUCCUGAGCUGACUAAAACGCAAUACUCUGAAAGCCUUCACUUCGUCUCUCAUGACAUCUUUCAAAAGACCUCAACCAAAGCAACCUUUUCAGUGGGAAGCCUGAGGGAAUGAGUGCUAUCCUAAAUUACUCAUCUGGAUACAGUACCCAUCCCCUGGCUCUCAGAGAACCCUGAGUUAUUACCAUUCUCUCUCUCAUAACAUUAUCACUUGCCAGGAUUUGAAUAUGUCCCCUCCAACAUUCAGAUGUUCAGAAUUAAAGGACAAUGUAAUAGGAUAAACAGGUGGGAACUUUAACAGGAGAUUAGGCCACAAGGACUCCUCCCUCCUGAAUGGGAUUAAGGCCCUUAUAAAAGAAGCUUUGCAAAGCAUUUGGUUAGCUUGUCCUUCUGCCAACUGCCAUGUGAUGAUAUAGCUUUGCUCCCCUCUGGAGGUUGCAUCACCGAAGUACCAUCCUGGAAGCAGAGAGACUGGGCCCUCCGUCACCAGCCAGUACUUUGAUCUUGGACUUACCAGCCUCCAGAACUGCGAGAAAAUACAUUUCUUUUCUUUAUAAAUUACCCAGGCUGUGGUAUUUUGUUAUAGCAGCACUAAUGAAUGAAGACAUCACUUCAUGUUUAAUAUUUGGACUCCCCAUUGGACAUAGGCACCAUGAAGCCAAAGAAGCCUACUCUGCAUAGCCCCAGGAUCUGUCAUUUGGUCUGCUAUGGUGAUGUCUCUGUGAAUAUUUUGUUGAAUUGAUUUGACUGUUUGAAAGAGCAGGCUAUUUUCACUCAUUCUUUCUCCUUCCUAGCCAUGUAAAAUCUGUAUUGAAAUUUUUGAGAAAUAUAUUGAAGAAAGGAUAAAUAACAACUUUCUUAUUUUUAUUUAUUAUGUUUAAAGAAAAAGAACAACUUUA
rnacentral:lncRNA from 1 species